CCACAACUGAACUCUCCCUCUCCCCGGCAGCGGCCACUUGUCCCUGCCAAUUCACACGCCACGCCACGACGAAAUAAUCUAGCCUAUUCUUCCUCCUCGAGCAGCAAAUUCUAGGAAGCUAGCGAGCUUUGCUAUGGCGAGAUCGAUGGAGAGCGUCGACGGCAAUGGCGGCGGGCUGGUGGUGACGGAGCUCAGCCACAUCAAGGAGCUCGUGCGGCAGCUGGAGGUGCACCUCGGCGGCUCGCACGACCUCUGCAGGCACCUCACCACGCAGAUUUUCUCCAUCACCGAGCGCUCCAUCAGCAUCAUCACCUCCUCCAGCCUCGACGCCGGCGCCGGCGGCCGGAAGCGGCCCGCCUCGCCCCUCUCGGCGACGCCCACCAGCGACGUCACCGACGGGCCUUUCAAGAACGCCAAGAAGAGGAAGGUCAUGGAGAAGAGGAAGCACCAGGUGAGGGUGAGCUCCGGCUCCGCCGGCGGAGGAGCCGCCGAGAACGACGGCCACAGCUGGAGGAAAUACGGCCAGAAGGAGAUUCUUGGAGCCAAGAACCCAAGGUUCGUUCCUGUUCUUUCCCUUAUCUUUUUCAUAGCCCAAUCUGCACGUGUGUUGCUUUUUGGGGUUCGGAUAUUGUAGCUGUCCUGUCCUUUCUGAAAGUUGUAGCCUUUGUUCUCUUCCUGGAAUGAUUGCCUCCACUUGCUGGAUAGCAUCGUAUGGCUAGGACACAGUAUGCUGCUACAAUCUUUUGAUAUUGGAUUGGUGAUGCUAGUUCGUGCCAAUUCUUCUCCGAAUUCACUAUCACAUUUUUUUCCCUUUUUUGUUCUGAUGAGCAAGUUACAGAAAUUACAGCUUAGAAACUGUGGCUGAUCUGCAUCGUGCCAAAAUUUCAGGGGCUACUACCGCUGCACGCACCGCCACUCCCAGGGAUGCUUGGCGACGAAGCAGGUGCAGCGCACCGACGAGGACCCGACGCUCUUCGACGUCAUCUACCACGGAGAUCACACCUGCGUCCAGAGGCCGACGACGGCGGCGGCAGGCCAGCCGGAGCACAACCCGGAGGCGAACGGCCUCCUGCAGAGCCUGGCCGCCGGCCUCACGGUGAAGACCGAGGGGCUGCCGGCCUUGGCCGCGGACCCGCAGGGCAGGGGCGCCGCCGCGCCGUUCUACCUCUCCUCCUCGACGCCGGCGAGCGGGUGUCUGGCGGCGGCCGAGCGCAGCCCGUUCUCGACGUCGGAGAACUGGGGCGUGUCGCCGGCGACCUCGGACUCCAACAACCACGUCGCCGCCUCCUACCUGCCGUUCGAGGACGCCGAGUGGCGGGGGCACAACGAGCUCCAGGAGGUCGUGUCCGCGCUCGUCGCCGCCAGCGCGCUGCCGCCGCUGCCCGCCGUGGACGGCUUCGACGAGUUCCUCGACUUGGACAUAGCGAGCUUCUUGGCGUGAUCCGAUCCUAGCGCCGAUCUCCGUAGCUGAUGAAAAAUAGGGAAAUCGAAGCAGCUGAUGUGAUGCGACCAUCCCUCUGGCCUCUGGGCCUUCGUCCAGGAACAGAGGAGGGAAGAGCACGAGCUCUGCUUCCUGGGUCCAUGCAGGCGUAAAACCGUAGAUGAUGAGAGUAGUGAAUGUCUUUUUUUUCCUCUUAUUCUUUUUACUCUUCUGAAACUGAGAGUGUUGUGUUGCAUUGUAUUAUUGAUCUUUUAUGUCCGAGGAAAAUAAAGAUCCUUUGAUGUUUUGAGCCAUUAUC
rnacentral:lncRNA from 1 species